CACAUUUUGUGGCACUUUGGUUCAAAGUCACUUUGUGCGGACGUAGACGGGGGUGCGGGGGGUCGUUUAUUGGACUUGGCGGUCUGAGUGUGUCAAAAUAAACCCGUGGACGACAACAGACGCCACUGUGAGGACGACAGAUGUCCAUAUACACACAAACACUCACGCGCAGCUUGCUGUUGUUGGGACUCCAACGUGCAAGGUCACGAGGACGAUGAGCGUUUUAACAGUCGAGCCGAGAAAAGAUUUCUCAUCGAUUUGGGCCCAGUCGCACUGCAGGGAAGCUCGCAAGAAUGCACGCAAAGCAUCAUCAUUUCAAGUUUUCUCAGAUUUUCUUCCAAAAUAAACAACGACAAUAAUUCUCCCGUCU